CUGGCUCAGAACGAACGCUGGCGGCGUGCUUAACACAUGCAAGUCGAACGCGAACGGGACUUCGGUUCCUAGUAGAGUGGCGCACGGGUGAGUAACGCGUAGAUAACCUAUCUUUAUGUCUGGGAUAACACGCCGAAAGGGGUACUAAUACCGGAUAUUCUUGCAUUUCAUAAGUAUUGCAAGGAAAGGUGGCCUCUGAUUCAAGCUACUGCAUAGAGAGGGGUCUGCGUACCAUUAGCUAGUAGGUGGGGUAAUGGCCUACCUAGGCAACGAUGGUUAGCGGGUCUGAGAGGAUGAUCCGCCACACUGGCACUGAAACACGGGUCAGACUCCUACGGGAGGCAGCAGUGAGGAAUAUUGCGCAAUGGGGGCAACCCUGACGCAGCGACGCCGCGUGAGUGAGGAAGGCCUUCGGGUCGUAAAGCUCUGUCAAGAGGGAAGAAGUGCAUGGUAGCUAAUACCUGCCAUGUUUGACGGUACCUCUAAAGGAAGCACCGGCUAACUCCGUGCCAGCAGCCGCGGUAAUACGGAGGGUGCAAGCGUUGUUCGGAAUUACUGGGCGUAAAGGGCGCGCAGGCGGCCUGCCAAGUCAGAUGUGAAAUGCCAUGGCUUAACCAUGGACGUGCAUUUGAAACUGGUGGGCUUGAGUACCAGAGGGGAAGGUGGAAUUCCCGGUGUAGAGGUGAAAUUCGUAGAUAUCGGGAGGAAUACCGGUGGCGAAGGCGACUUUCUGGCUGGAUACUGACGCUGAGGCGCGAAAGCGUGGGGAGCAAAAAAGAUUAGCUACCCUGGUAGUCCACGCUGUA
rnacentral:rRNA from 1 species